GACGAACGCUGGCGGCGUGCCUAAUACAUGCAAGUCGAACGCAGUUGCGAACGGGGGAGUAAAGCGUAGGUAACUUCCUCAUAGCGGGGGGUAAAUUUUGGAAAAGAUAGCUAAAACCGCAUACUGUGAGCUGGACAUGCGUUGUAUUAGCUAGUUGGUAAGGUAAACGCUCACCAAGGCGACGAUACAUAGCCGACCUGGGAGGGGGGUCGGCCAAACUGGGACUUAUACACAGCCCUGAAUCCGACGGGAGGGAGCAGGAGGGAAUCUUCGGCAAUGGACGGAAGGCUGACCGAGAAACGCCGCGUGAGAGAAGAAGGUUGUCGGGUCGUAAAGCUCUGUUGUGAGAGAAGCGGUAACUAACCAGAAAGGGACGGCUAACUACGUGCCAGCAGCCGCGGUAAUAC
rnacentral:rRNA from 1 species